AUUCUGUGAAAAAGGCACUUCUGCAAUAAUUCUUUAGACCUUUCCCAUGCCUCAUACAAGGACUCAUCAUCCAUUUGUUGGAAAGUAGUGAUCUCGUUCCUAGCUU
rfam:Gossypium hirsutum cultivar TM-1 chromosome 12, whole genome shotgun sequence